rnacentral:lncRNA from 1 species
GCUGGGGGAGUAAAGAGGGUGAUGUUUUUGUUUAAGAUACUGUAUUCCUCACAGUGGCUCCCUGAGCCAUUGCCCUGGGAUGAGGUUAGCAGCUUUAGAGAUCCCAGGCCUCAGCAUUCACAAGCUAUGUAUGAAGACCCGUCAUGGUCCUUGGCAUCAGUUUUCCCAGGGCCAUUCACUGGAAAAAAAAAAAAACAAAAAAACUCCUCUUAAUAUGUUAUAUGGAUUGGUUCCUGAAAGAUCUGCUUUGUUCUCUGUUAAGAGAGUCUUAGAGUAAUUUUUUUCCGGUCUCCAAUUAUAUCUAUGGAGUAGCGUUAUCAGUGCACAAUGAGCAGCUUUGAGGAGUUGACUUCCCCUAGAGAGGCCAUCCCACUUGCAUCAUGGAGAGGAUGCCCCAGCAGUCAGAGCUGAGUGACCUGCAGAGACGCCUUAGAUGAUCCUCCACCCCGUCUUCUGUUAGUUAACAAUGGCGCCUUCAUUCGACUGCUCCGUAGUGACUUGGAGGAAGCCUAAUUCCCCAGUAAGAAAAUUACAAAAAAUGUGAAGAAGGUUCCAGAGCUGUGAUGUUUCUCCUACGCUUUUUGGGGCCGGUCUCCUUUUCUUCGGUUCUGGGGCACUCUCCUUACAAAUGUUUCUUUUGGAAGGGCACAUUCUUCACCUUUGAAUGUGUCUUCGUUAACUCGGUUUCCCUAGUUGGACUUGCAUUGCUGGGUGGAAGCAGCUACACCUGCAGGUACAGGGCAGGCUCAUGACAUAGGCAACAUAAGAGCAGCCAUCUUCCGUGAAAUGCAGACCUCCAAACCUCACCGAGGGAACCCAGUCCCCUUCCCAUGCCACUGCCCUGCAGAUGAGAAGGAGUUUGGGGAAGGAACAUAGUAACUGUGUCACCUGAGAUUUUGUUACUCUUUAACAGGUGGUUGCUUAUGGUUUUCUUUUCAUCUCUCUAGUCUUCCCUGUCUCCCUCUCCCCUCAUUUUUCUUUCCUACCUUAGUAAACACAUACACUUUGUGCUACAACACUAGAGCUUCACUGUUUGUUUGUUUGUUUGUUUAUUUAUUUAUUUUUAAACUUUUUCUCUGUUCAAAAGGGAAGCAUUUACUUUGAAAACUUGAUCUUUGAAAGUUUGGUUUUAAAUUAUUGAACAAUAUAUUGAACCUAUGUAAAAACAUGCUCACUACUAAACCUUUGAUGUGUGUACCAUUGUUGGAUGUACCCUGUGCAGGUGUGCAGUAUUCCUCUGUGGAUAGAGUGUUUCUUUUAUUUUUACAACACCCUUGUUAUUUUCUCUGGUUUCUUUCUCCUCUUGUUGCUGUUGCUAAGAAUUCUGCUACAGCCAUAUUCUGUAGCAAGUGCCCAGAUCCCUCUAAGGACCAGGAUUAAAUGUCGAUUAGCAGCUAAGUAACUCUUUUUCUCUGCAAGCUAAGACUCCAGAGGAAGCGAGAAGUGACCCCCGUGUCCUUCCGCUGAUCUCUUCGGUUUCCCUGGGUGUGCCUGAACAAUUUGUUGGGCUUGAGUAACAACUCAGUUAUAUUUACAUUCUUAGGGCAGAAAGAUGAUACUAGGUCAGGAAAUGGCAUUCUGAAGUCAUUCUGAUCUGGAAGGAUGGAGCCAAGAGAUCCGGAAGCUGGGCAGAGGUCAGAAAGAGUAACCUGACCCUCCCCAGGGUUAACUUUCAGGGCUUCAGAGCCAAACUUGGAGCCAGGGAGUCUGGCCAGCCUCAUGUGAAUGGGUGCCCUUUUCCAUUGCUGUGAUAAAACACGUUGGCCAAGGUAAUUUAUAAAAGAAAACAUUUAAUUUGGGGCACGUGGUUCCGAAGGAUUAGAGUCCAUGGCCAUCGUCAUGGUAGAAAGCAUGGCAGCAGGCAAGCAGGUGUGGCACUGGGGCAGGAGCUGGGAGCUUGCUUCUGACCCUUAGGCAUGAACCAGAGCUAACUGGGAACUAACUGGGAACAGCACGGGCUUUUGAAGUCUCGGUGAGUCUUUAAACACAGCAGCCUAUACAGGCCAGUUUCAUUCAAACUACUACACACAGCUUCUCUUCCUUCUCUACUUGGUAGCAACGAUUGCUUCUCUUCCUGGGAAGGACUCUCUCCCCUAUCCUCUCUCCUCCCCCCCCCCAUCAUUAGGAAAGUGUUCUCUCUUGUGGAGUAGGACUCCAAUUCAAUCAGAAGGCAUUUGGUUAGCCCCAUUAAUAUUCCAGUAUUACACUUGUGGGCACAUGUUGCCUGGAAGUCCAGGAUUACAGAGCUCAAACUGUUCCCUGCUGCCUUUUCUCCCCCAGUGGCCUACAUAGCAACUUUCAGCACUAUGAAAGGAGGGGGAAGGUUUCCAGAUCAUUCUAGCUUGGUUUCUAUAGAUGCUGCAAUCAAGUUGUGUUGUUUCCCACAACAUUGUGGUCUUACCGCCUAGUUAUGGUGACGAGCAAGAGCAAUGGCAACCACCUCUGUCGUUCUGAGAGUCUCUGCGGCCUCUCUGACCAAAAUCCAGAGGAAGGAAAGCAGCUGGGUAGAAAUGAAGGAACCCAGAUAGAGAUGAUCACAAGGCAUAUGCUGAGGGCUGGCGUGGGAGCUGUGCAGUUUCUGAGCAAGACUGUCCAGUGGAACCGAAAUGUAACGUUGCAUGCUAAGACAGUACAAGCAUAGGAAAACUCAGUGUACACAAUGAAGGGGUUAAACAGGAACUGCUUGUGUGCAGCAGGCCGGUGACAUGGCUACCUCCUCACUAACAGGCUCCCCUUCAUCCAUGCCUUUAGUUCUGCCAUCAAAUUCAUUGUAACGGACAACUUAAUUAUUAAGUAAAAAGUAUUUUUAUUAUG